AACGAGGCCGACCUGCGGCUGAGUUACCUGCGGAGGGAUCAUUAACAAAAAUUUUUUUGAGCCAUUUUUAUGGCUUCAAAAAAAAAAUCCACACACUCACCCUUUGUGCAAUCACUGAGAAAAAGUUAAUCUUUGGGAGAUGAGUUUCUUUUUUGAUCUCAUCUCCCAAAGGUGUUUGUAUAAAACUUUUUUCUAUAACUUAUUGUCUUAAGAUAUAAUAAAUUAAUAAAUAAUAAAAAA
rnacentral:misc_RNA from 1 species